AUGUCUGAACGAGCGUGUUUCGGAUUAGAGUCAUCUUCGGUGAAUGACUGGCUGGACUGAGGAUGAUGUUACACGCUUACUCUCCUCCUCCCAAUGGGUGGAGUGGAAUCCCAACAUGGUCCAGCACCAGCUGACCACCAGCACAUUAGCAUCUCUUAAAGUGCUUCCAUCGGUACCCCAAACCGAGCCACUCCAGCUAUACAGCCGAGGGGAUUGCUUGCCUUUUUAGGAGACGCGUCGUUCCCGUCGACAUGCCAUCAAGACGCUGCGGAGGAUAACCACGCUUGAAACGUAACGUGCAUUUUUACACACACAACAGGACGGACAACCGGUGAAACGCUAGAGGACUGCGGCGGUAACCGGAACCUCCUGAAGAAACAAUGCCAAUAGAACUGUUGGCACUGGAUAACAUUUGGAAGGGAAUUUUAGAGUGAUCAAGUCCUCUGGGGUAGGAGAGAGAAGUCAUCAGAAGUUGUAAUCAUGGAGAAAUUCAAGGCAGGUAUGGUUCUGGGUGGUGUUGGCGAUGCCUUGGGCUUCAGGAAAGGCCACUGGGAAAGUUGCACGUCAGGCAGAAAGAUCCAAGAAGAACUGGUGUCCCUUGGCGGUCUGGCAGGACUUAAGCUGGACCCCGAUAACUGGCCGCUGAGUGAUGCCGCCUUAAUGCACAUGACCACUGCAGAGGCACUUAUAACAGAUUACUGGUGCCUGGAGGACCUCUACCGAGAGCUGGUGCGUCUCUACGUGGAAGCCAUGGUGUCUCUCCAGGGUAAAAACCCCGACCCGGUUACGGUGGAAGGCUGUGUACACCUCAAGCCUCACAAUUUUCUCCUCGCUUGGCAUACACCCUUCAAUGAAAAAGGAUCCGGAUUCGGAGGUGCCGCUAAGGCCAUGUGCGUGGGGAUGAGAUACUGGCAACCGGAUCGACUAGACAGCCUGGUAGAGGUCAGCAUUGAAACUGGAAGGAUGACCCACAAUCAUCCCACAGGUUUCCUGGGCUCCCUGGCAACGGCAUUGUUUGCCUCCUAUGCAAUCCAGGGAAAGCCGCUUGGGACUUGGGGACGUGAGCUCAUGAAAGUCAUCCCUCGUGCCGAGGAGUAUUGCAGGAAGACCAUACGCCACAUGGCGGAGUAUCAGGAAAACUGGUUCUACUUUGAGGCAAAGUGGCAGUUUUACUUGGAAGAACGGCAACUCGAAAAAGAAGGGCAGAAUAAGCCCUUCUUGGACAGUCGCUAUGAUGCUGAAGAGACGGAUAAGAUUUACAAGCGAUGGAGUUCAGAAGGCCGUGCGGGGCGGAGGGGUCACGAUGCCCCGAUGAUUGCCUACGACGCCCUUCUGAUUGCAGGAAACGACUGGGCCGAACUAUGCAAGCGAGCCAUGUUCCACGGAGGGGAGAGUGAAGCCACGGGCCUAAUCGCCGGUUGCCUCUAUGGUCUAAUGUACGGUCUAAGCCAAGUUCCCUCCAACCUGUAUCAGGAUUUAGACAAAAGGGAGCGUUUGGAAGAACUGGGAGAGGCGCUUUACAAAGCCGCAUCAGCCGAGAAGUGCAUAGACAAGUAAAAGUGCACUUCACAAGCCCAACAGGAACCGCACGAGCCAAAGAACCCGCACUGUCCCUUGUCCUGGCAGAUUCUUUCCAAUAGCAGAUUCUCAGAAAGCCCGUAUCAGCCCUGAUGCCCGUAUGUUGAGGAAGUUACUAAGAGACCGCGACUGUCGUCCAGUGCUCCGAGGGAUUUUGGAGACUCUCCUGCAUUACCUGACACAGGACUUACCCGACAGGAUCGCCGGAACCCAACAUGGGGAUGAGAUGAUUUCCACAGCUUCAUUCCAAAGGAAGAGAGAUCGAACUGUUUCGAAAAUCCAGAAGUCUGAACUUAAAACAAAUCUCAUGCCAGCGAUUCAGUCCCUUGAUAAAACGACCGAAAGAGAGACUAAGAUCCCUGAACAACCAAAAGAGAUGUUUGAGGGAUUCUGUGGAGGAGGAGAUGAACGAGAAGAAGACCCGACACCCCGGCGUCUUACCACAUUCCGGUUGCUUCAGUCCAAAUUCGCACGGUCAACUCCCAAACCCCCUCUGACAAACAGAAGGGAGGUAGGAACUCUGUUAUCCAGAGGAGGAAUGGCCGGUGCUCAAAAUCACAGACACGAUGGUGGAUAUGCGAUGAAGAAAAAUAGCAAAGAAAGAAAAGAGCACAAACUGAAGCCAGGUGGCAUGGUGAAAGAUAUCGUGGCCAAGUUUGCCUUGACUGAGCAGAAGGAAAUGGGACUGAAGACCCCAAAGCGCUCCAUAAGCUCAAGACAAAUUGGAAAAGGGAUCCUCCUGUCCUCCUUGAUGGAGAAGUUUGAGAACCUGGCCAUUGUGUCCAAGGGGAUAAAGUCAACAUGUUCAAGCCAGAGACUUCCCGCAACUGUCAGUGUCAAACAACGGGUUGCUCGCAGUGAACGAGCAAGUGAUCGCAAACAAAUCCAGAGCAAAAAAGUGACAUUGGAAAGUACGACGGAGUGCUUGGAAGCAAAUCAAAGCGACCAAGGGCAACGAAACCCCGAGGAGAAAUCACAGCUGAAUUUGAAAGCAGAGCAAAUUCCGCCACUUUCGGAUGAGAGUUUUGAUUUAUUACGCAACAUCAGAGAUGAUGCACAAUAUUGUCAUUCUGGAAAAACACAAGAAAAUAUUUGCACCACAGCAAAGCUGAACUAUGCUUGUCAGGAGAUAAUCCAAUUUAGAUGUGCGUCACAGUGGUGCCUUCCCGCGCCGUACAAGCUUGUCCUGCACAGUGAUGCUCCACUAAAGUACCACAUGACAUCUGUCCUUCCAUGCUCCAUCCUAUGGUCCACAUAUGAGGUUUCUUCUCCUAAACAAUACUUUAAGAAAUAUCAACUCGAGGCUUCAGCUUGUCCUGAUGUGAAAAAAAUGGAAAAAGGCACAAAUUGUGGGAUAGUCUCCAUUGGUACAGACUAUAGCUUGAUGGGGAAAGAACCGAUGGAUGAGCCAAAUCGACACCGACGUGUAGCUAGUCAAAGAGGACUGCCUCGUUACACCAUCCCACACAUUUGUAGAUCUGAUACUCAACACGGUGAUGGUCAACACUCGGAGACUGUUUUGGCUCAAAGGCUGACUUCAGCCUCAAACUGCUCCACUCAUGUUUUUGAAGGCGGAUUGAGAACAAGGGCAACUUUACAGGAGUCAUGUCCUCUUGACCUCAAGGUACACACAGCAGAAAAUAAAACUGAAAGAACAUUUCAAGUAAAGCACGAGGAGGAGGAGGAUGUAAAGAGGGACACAAUAACGGCAGAAUUGAGCUCUUUGGAAUUACCAGACAGUUGCCAAACAUCUGAGGCCGCUCAAACUCAAUUACCCGUGAGACCAAAGUAUACGUCAAUAAACUACGGUGACCCGUCCGUCAAACAAACAUAUAAACCCAAGCUUAUACGCUUUACCGACACAUUUACUUUCUAGAUUGCUUAGAAUUAGAAACAUUCAAGUAGAGCAUUUUUAAUUGAAUACAUGUAUUGUGAUGAAUUGGGGGAGAGGCAACUGAAUCAGACCAUAUACAUUCAAAUAAAAACUAAAUAUACAAAAUCA